rnacentral:rRNA from 1 species
UACGUAGGGUGCGAGCGUUAAUCGGAAUUACUGGGCGUAAAGCGUGCGCAGGCGGUUUUGUAGGCCAGAUGUGAAAUCCCCGGGCUUAACCUGGGAAUGGCAUUGGUGACUGCACGGCUAGAGUGUGUCAGAGGGGGGUAGAAUUCCACGUGUAGCAGUGAAAUGCGUAGAGAUGUGGAGGAAUACCGAUGGCGAAGGCAGCCCCCUGGGAUAACACUGACGCUCAUGCACGAAAGCGUGGGGAGCAAACAGG